rnacentral:rRNA from 1 species
UACGUAGGGUGCAAGCGUUAAUCGGAAUUACUGGGCGUAAAGCGUGCGCAGGCGGUUUUGUAAGUCUGUCGUGAAAUCCCCGGGCUCAACCUGGGAAUGGCGAUGGAGACUGCAAGGCUAGAAUCUGGCAGAGGGGGGGGUAGAAUUCCACGUGUAGCAGUGAAAUGCGUAGAUAUGUGGAGGAACACCGAUGGCGAAGGCAGCCCCCUGGGUCAAGACUGACGCUCAUGCACGAA